UAAUAAAAUUAACGGUACUAUAUACUUCAUAUAUAUGAAAUGAAAAGUAUAUAUUUUAGGGAAAUACUAAAAUAAAGUGUUAUAUAGAAAAAAGUUUUAAUUAAUAUCUUUGUCAUAUUAUAAGUUUUAUAAACAAAAUAUUUAUAAAAGCAUGCAUAAAAUAUGAAAAUUAUGAUUACUAACAUUUACAUAUAUCUAAAUAUGCUGACAAGAAUAUUAUAAAAAAUUAAAGAAAGAUAUAGUAUAAUUUUCAAAAAUUGCAGAAGUUUUAUUUUUUCAUUAUUUAUUGUUGAAAAAUUAACUAUUAUUUAAUUACUAUAAGAUGGAACAAAAGUAAGAAAAAACAGAAAAAAAUAAUAUAGCUCUUCCUUUUGCAAAGUGCUCGUGUUAUGCUGAUGGAAUUUUUAUGAGGAACGUUAGAGUAAAGGCGAUGAAAAUAAAAUAGAAUAGAAUCUUGAUUGAAUUUUAAUAUUACAAUGAUUUUAUAUUUCCUAUUGAAAAUGCAUUUAAAAUAGCAUUUUAAAAAGCAAUAUAAAUAUGUACAGAAAUAAGUUGUAUGUCUGUUGUUAAAAUUAAAAUACGAUAUUAAGAAAAAAUAUACGAUAUUUUUAAUACAUAUAUAUUUUAAAAAUGUUGAACUGUUAAUCUUGAAUAUAAAUAAUUAGUUAAUUAUUUUAUUUUUACUCAUUUUUUAAUCUUUUAAAAUAUAUUUUAAAUAUGACAAUAUUAUAACACACGCUGUUUUUUCUGCUUUUUAUUUUUUAAAUAUAAAAUUAAUAUGAAAGGCAUUAUAAAUGACAAAAUAAUAAGAAAUAAAAAAAAAAUGAUAUAAAAAUGAUUGAAAAAUCUAAAAAUAAAUUAUUUAAAAUAAUUAUUUUACUUCUAUUUAAAUUGUAAAAUAAUAAAAAUAAAAAAUUAAUAAAAUAAUUAAAAAAUAAAUUUAAUAAGUAUUAUGAGAAAAAACCAAAAACAUUUCCCUCCAUAC